rnacentral:rRNA from 1 species
UUAAGCGACUAAGCGUACACGGUGGAUGCCCUGGCAGUCAGAGGCGAUGAAGGACGUGCUAAUCUGCGAUAAGCGUCGGUAAGGUGAUAUGAACCGUUAUAACCGGCGAUUUCCGAAUGGGGAAACCCAGUGUGUUUCGACACACUAUCAUUAACUGAAUCCAUAGGUUAAUGAGGCGAACCGGGGGAACUGAAACAUCUAAGUACCCCGAGGAAAAGAAAUCAACCGAGAUUCCCCCAGUAGCGGCGAGCGAACGGGGAGCAGCCCAGAGCCUGAAUCAGUGUGUGUGUUAGUGGAAGCGUCUGGAAAGGCGCGCGAUACAGGGUGACAGCCCCGUACACAAAAAUGCACAUACUGUGAGCUCGAUGAGUAGGGCGGGACACGUGGUAUCCUGUCUGAAUAUGGGGGGACCAUCCUCCAAGGCUAAAUACUCCUGACUGACCGAUAGUGAACCAGUACCGUGAGGGAAAGGCGAAAAGAACCCCGGCGAGGGGAGUGAAAAAGAACCUGAAACCGUGUACGUACAAGCAGUGGGAGCACGCUUAGGCGUGUGACUGCGUACCUUUUGUAUAAUGGGUCAGCGACUUAUAUUCUGUAGCAAGGUUAACCGAAUAGGGGAGCCGAAGGGAAACCGAGUCUUAACUGGGCGUUAAGUUGCAGGGUAUAGACCCGAAACCCGGUGAUCUAGCCAUGGGCAGGUUGAAGGUUGGGUAACACUAACUGGAGGACCGAACCGACUAAUGUUGAAAAAUUAGCGGAUGACUUGUGGCUGGGGGUGAAAGGCCAAUCAAACCGGGAGAUAGCUGGUUCUCCCCGAAAGCUAUUUAGGUAGCGCCUCGUGAAUUCAUCUCCGGGGGUAGAGCACUGUUUCGGCAAGGGGGUCAUCCCGACUUACCAACCCGAUGCAAACUGCGAAUACCGGAGAAUGUUAUCACGGGAGACACACGGCGGGUGCUAACGUCCGUCGUGAAGAGGGAAACAACCCAGACCGCCAGCUAAGGUCCCAAAGUCAUGGUUAAGUGGGAAACGAUGUGGGAAGGCCCAGACAGCCAGGAUGUUGGCUUAGAAGCAGCCAUCAUUUAAAGAAAGCGUAAUAGCUCACUGGUCGAGUCGGCCUGCGCGGAAGAUGUAACGGGGCUAAACCAUGCACCGAAGCUGCGGCAGCGACGCUUAUGCGUUGUUGGGUAGGGGAGCGUUCUGUAAGCCUGUGAAGGUGUGCUGUGAGGCAUGCUGGAGGUAUCAGAAGUGCGAAUGCUGACAUAAGUAACGAUAAAGCGGGUGAAAAGCCCGCUCGCCGGAAGACCAAGGGUUCCUGUCCAACGUUAAUCGGGGCAGGGUGAGUCGACCCCUAAGGCGAGGCCGAAAGGCGUAGUCGAUGGGAAACAGGUUAAUAUUCCUGUACUUGGUGUUACUGCGAAGGGGGGACGGAGAAGGCUAUGUUGGCCGGGCGACGGUUGUCCCGGUUUAAGCGUGUAGGCUGGUUUUCCAGGCAAAUCCGGAAAAUCAAGGCUGAGGCGUGAUGACGAGGCACUACGGUGCUGAAGCAACAAAUGCCCUGCUUCCAGGAAAAGCCUCUAAGCAUCAGGUAACAUCAAAUCGUACCCCAAACCGACACAGGUGGUCAGGUAGAGAAUACCAAGGCGCUUGAGAGAACUCGGGUGAAGGAACUAGGCAAAAUGGUGCCGUAACUUCGGGAGAAGGCACGCUGAUAUGUAGGUGAAGUCCCUCGCGGAUGGAGCUGAAAUCAGUCGAAGAUACCAGCUGGCUGCAACUGUUUAUUAAAAACACAGCACUGUGCAAACACGAAAGUGGACGUAUACGGUGUGACGCCUGCCCGGUGCCGGAAGGUUAAUUGAUGGGGUCAGCGCAAGCGAAGCUCUUGAUCGAAGCCCCGGUAAACGGCGGCCGUAACUAUAACGGUCCUAAGGUAGCGAAAUUCCUUGUCGGGUAAGUUCCGACCUGCACGAAUGGCGUAAUGAUGGCCAGGCUGUCUCCACCCGAGACUCAGUGAAAUUGAACUCGCUGUGAAGAUGCAGUGUACCCGCGGCAAGACGGAAAGACCCCGUGAACCUUUACUAUAGCUUGACACUGAACAUUGAGCCUUGAUGUGUAGGAUAGGUGGGAGGCUUUGAAGUGUGGACGCCAGUCUGCAUGGAGCCGACCUUGAAAUACCACCCUUUAAUGUUUGAUGUUCUAACGUUGGCCCCUAAUCGGGGUUGCGGACAGUGUCUGGUGGGUAGUUUGACUGGGGCGGUCUCCUCCUAAAGAGUAACGGAGGAGCACGAAGGUUGGCUAAUCCUGGUCGGACAUCAGGAGGUUAGUGCAAUGGCAUAAGCCAGCUUGACUGCGAGCGUGACGGCGCGAGCAGGUGCGAAAGCAGGUCAUAGUGAUCCGGUGGUUCUGAAUGGAAGGGCCAUCGCUCAACGGAUAAAAGGUACUCCGGGGAUAACAGGCUGAUACCGCCCAAGAGUUCAUAUCGACGGCGGUGUUUGGCACCUCGAUGUCGGCUCAUCACAUCCUGGGGCUGAAGUAGGUCCCAAGGGUAUGGCUGUUCGCCAUUUAAAGUGGUACGCGAGCUGGGUUUAGAACGUCGUGAGACAGUUCGGUCCCUAUCUGCCGUGGGCGCUGGAGAACUGAGGGGGGCUGCUCCUAGUACGAGAGGACCGGAGUGGACGCAUCACUGGUGUUCGGGUUGUCAUGCCAAUGGCACUGCCCGGUAGCUAAAUGCGGAAGAGAUAAGUGCUGAAAGCAUCUAAGCACGAAACUUGCCCCGAGAUGAGUUCUCCCUGACUCCUUGAGAGUCCUGAAGGAACGUUGAAGACGACGACGUUGAUAGGCCGGGUGUGUAAGCGCAGCGAUGCGUUGAGCUAACCGGUACUAAUGAACCGUGAGGCUUAACCUU